rfam:Candidatus Campbellbacteria bacterium RIFCSPLOWO2_02_35_12 rifcsplowo2_02_sub10_scaffold_3299, whole genome shotgun sequence.
GCGAGAUUAGUUUAGUGGCAGAACAGAUGCUUCCCAAGCAUCAGACAGGAGUUCAAUUCUCCUAUCUCGCA